rnacentral:rRNA from 1 species
AUACCCGCAGCCCAAGUGGUGGUCGAUUUUAUUGAGUCUAAAACGUUCGUAGCCGGUUCAUUAAAUCCUUGGGUAAAUCGGAUGGCUUAACUAUCCGAAUUCCGGGGAGACUGGUGAACUUGGGACCGGGAGAGGCAAGAGGUACUUUUGGGGUAGGGGUAAAAUCCUGUAAUCCUAAAAGGACCACCGGUGGCGAAGGCGUCUUGCUAGAACGGAUCCGACGGUGAUGGACGAAGCCCUGGGUCGCAAACGGGAUUAGAUUCCCCGGUAGUCCAGGGUGUAAACGCUGCAGACUUGGUGUUGGGGACCCUUCGGGGGUGUUCAGUGCCGGAGAGAAGUUGUUAAGUCUGCUACUUGGGGAGUACGUCCGCAAGGAUGAAACUUAAAGGAAUUGACGGGG